UUAAGCGACUAAGCGUACACGGUGGAUGCCCUGGCAGUCAGAGGCGAUGAAGGACGUGCUAAUCUGCGAUAAGCGUCGGUAAGGUGAUAUGAACCGUUAUAACCGGCGAUUUCCGAAUGGGGAAACCCAGUGUGUUUCGACACACUAUCAUUAACUGAAUCCAUAGGUUAAUGAGGCGAACCGGGGGAACUGAAACAUCUAAGUACCCCGAGGAAAAGAAAUCAACCGAGAUUCCCCCAGUAGCGGCGAGCGAACGGGGAGCAGCCCAGAGCCUGAAUCAGUGUGUGUGUUAGUGGAAGUGUCUGGAAAGGCGCGCGAUACAGGGUGACAGCCCCGUACACAAAAAUGCACAUGCUGUGAGCUCGAUGAGUAGGGCGGGACACGUGGUAUCCUGUCUGAAUAUGGGGGGACCAUCCUCCAAGGCUAAAUACUCCUGACUGACCGAUAGUGAACCAGUACCGUGAGGGAAAGGCGAAAAGAACCCCGGCGAGGGGAGUGAAAAAGAACCUGAAACCGUGUACGUACAAGCAGUGGGAGCCCUGAUUUAUCAGGGUGACUGCGUACCUUUUGUAUAAUGGGUCAGCGACUUAUAUUCUGUAGCAAGGUUAACCGAAUAGGGGAGCCGGAGGGAAACCGAGUCUUAACUGGGCGUUAAGUUGCAGGGUAUAGACCCGAAACCCGGUGAUCUAGCCAUGGGCAGGUUGAAGGUUGGGUAACACUAACUGGAGGACCGAACCGACUAAUGUUGAAAAAUUAGCGGAUGACUUGUGGCUGGGGGUGAAAGGCCAAUCAAACCGGGAGAUAGCUGGUUCUCCCCGAAAGCUAUUUAGGUAGCGCCUCGUGAAUUCAUCUCCGGGGGUAGAGCACUGUUUCGGCAAGGGGGUCAUCCCGACUUACCAACCCGAUGCAAACUGCGAAUACCGGAGAAUGUUAUCACGGGAGACACACGGCGGGUGCUAACGUCCGUCGUGAAGAGGGAAACAACCCAGACCGCCAGCUAAGGUCCCAAAGUCAUGGUUAAGUGGGAAACGAUGUGGGAAGGCCCAGACAGCCAGGAUGUUGGCUUAGAAGCAGCCAUCAUUUAAAGAAAGCGUAAUAGCUCACUGGUCGAGUCGGCCUGCGCGGAAGAUGUAACGGGGCUAAACCAUGCACCGAAGCUGCGGCAGCGACACUGUGUGUUGUUGGGUAGGGGAGCGUUCUGUAAGCCUGUGAAGGUGUGCUGUGAGGCAUGCUGGAGGUAUCAGAAGUGCGAAUGCUGACAUAAGUAACGAUAAAGCGGGUGAAAAGCCCGCUCGCCGGAAGACCAAGGGUUCCUGUCCAACGUUAAUCGGGGCAGGGUGAGUCGACCCCUAAGGCGAGGCCGAAAGGCGUAGUCGAUGGGAAACAGGUUAAUAUUCCUGUACUUGGUGUUACUGCGAAGGGGGGACGGAGAAGGCUAUGUUGGCCGGGCGACGGUUGUCCCGGUUUAAGCGUGUAGGCUGGUUUUCCAGGCAAAUCCGGAGAAUCAAGGCUGAGGCGUGAUGACGAGGCACUACGGUGCUGAAGCAACAAAUGCCCUGCUUCCAGGAAAAGCCUCUAAGCAUCAGGUAACAUUAAAUCGUACCCCAAACCGACACAGGUGGUCAGGUAGAGAAUACCAAGGCGCUUGAGAGAACUCGGGUGAAGGAACUAGGCAAAAUGGUGCCGUAACUUCGGGAGAAGGCACGCUGAUAUGUAGGUGAAGCGACUUGCUCGUGGAGCUGAAAUCAGUCGAAGAUACCAGCUGGCUGCAACUGUUUAUUAAAAACACAGCACUGUGCAAACACGAAAGUGGACGUAUACGGUGUGACGCCUGCCCGGUGCCGGAAGGUUAAUUGAUGGGGUCAGCGCAAGCGAAGCUCUUGAUCGAAGCCCCGGUAAACGGCGGCCGUAACUAUAACGGUCCUAAGGUAGCGAAAUUCCUUGUCGGGUAAGUUCCGACCUGCACGAAUGGCGUAAUGAUGGCCAGGCUGUCUCCACCCGAGACUCAGUGAAAUUGAACUCGCUGUGAAGAUGCAGUGUACCCGCGGCAAGACGGAAAGACCCCGUGAACCUUUACUAUAGCUUGACACUGAACAUUGAGCCUUGAUGUGUAGGAUAGGUGGGAGGCUUUGAAGUGUGGACGCCAGUCUGCAUGGAGCCGACCUUGAAAUACCACCCUUUAAUGUUUGAUGUUCUAACGUGGACCCGUGAUCCGGGUUGCGGACAGUGUCUGGUGGGUAGUUUGACUGGGGCGGUCUCCUCCUAAAGAGUAACGGAGGAGCACGAAGGUUGGCUAAUCCUGGUCGGACAUCAGGAGGUUAGUGCAAUGGCAUAAGCCAGCUUGACUGCGAGCGUGACGGCGCGAGCAGGUGCGAAAGCAGGUCAUAGUGAUCCGGUGGUUCUGAAUGGAAGGGCCAUCGCUCAACGGAUAAAAGGUACUCCGGGGAUAACAGGCUGAUACCGCCCAAGAGUUCAUAUCGACGGCGGUGUUUGGCACCUCGAUGUCGGCUCAUCACAUCCUGGGGCUGAAGUAGGUCCCAAGGGUAUGGCUGUUCGCCAUUUAAAGUGGUACGCGAGCUGGGUUUAGAACGUCGUGAGACAGUUCGGUCCCUAUCUGCCGUGGGCGCUGGAGAACUGAGGGGGGCUGCUCCUAGUACGAGAGGACCGGAGUGGACGCAUCACUGGUGUUCGGGUUGUCAUGCCAAUGGCACUGCCCGGUAGCUAAAUGCGGAAGAGAUAAGUGCUGAAAGCAUCUAAGCACGAAACUUGCCCCGAGAUGAGUUCUCCCUGAGACCUAGAGUCUCCUGAAGGAACGUUGAAGACGACGACGUUGAUAGGCCGGGUGUGUAAGCGCAGCGAUGCGUUGAGCUAACCGGUACUAAUGAACCGUGAGGCUUAACCUU
rnacentral:rRNA from 1 species